AUUAUGUGUGAAAUGAUCACUUCUGGCAUAUUUUUUUGAUAACUUGUUCUUGGUGAUAUAAUGCUGUAAAUACUAAAUGUAUUAGUGAUUAUGUAUGAUUUGAUCGGGUGUCACAUUAUGACACAUAAAUUAGAUCAGGUGUCACGUUUUGACAUACAUUUGGAUCGGGAGUUAUGCUCCGACACAAAGUUGAUUGUUUGUAGGUCCCCUGACUGGACCCUUAUGUGAAGUUAUAGUAUGUUAAAGUUAUUGAUUGUGUUCUUUCUUAAUAUGAUUGGAUGUCACGACCCAACCCCGUAGGCCACGAUUGGGGCCCGACCUGGACCCCCCAUAUACCCAACUACCAGCUGUUAUCAAAUUGAACUAUAAAUAAAACAAUAUUAUAUAACAGAGCCCCAUUGGACGACAACAUUUUCAUAAAUCUGUAGCCCUUUUCUUUUAUAUCACAACAUGACAGGGCGCGCAAGCCGACAAGGCUGCCAUAACAUAAUAACAUAUAUCAUAUAUCACAUAGACCCAGCUGAAUCAAACUGACAUAUACAACCCACAUAUACAUGUCUACAGACCUCUAAGAAUAUAAAUGACAACAUAUGGCGGGACAAGGCCCCCGCUGUACCCCCGAAUGGAUAAAACAAUUCUAUACAUCAGUGGACAAUACCAAAACUAGGCCCCGAAACAAUGGAGCCUCUUUCAGCUGAGCCGCAUGGAAUCCUAAGAUAACAGAAUCCCAAACCUGUAUCUGUACCUGCGGUCAUGAAUGCAGCCCCCCGAGAAAGGGGGUCAUUACGACAUAUGUACUGAGUAUGUAAAACAUAACAUGAUACAACUGGAAGCAUAUCUGAAGUAGAGAAGUAGGGGAUAAAAUGUCAAAUCAGAAAACAUGUACCAGAACUCUGUGAAUCACAAAAACAUGCAUGCUCAAAUUUUCAAUAUAACUGGCCCCGUCAGGGGUCCGGUGAAUCAUAUAUAUAGUAUCAGUAUCAGGCCCCAGGCCAUCGUCAUAGUAUCAGUACCAGGCCCCAGGCCAUCAUCAUAGUAUCAGUAUCAGGCCCCAGGACAUCAUUAUAGUAUCAGUACCAGGACCCAGGCCAUCAUAUAUAUACAUACAGAUGCCGGCCCUCUAGCGAGUGACUCGGUGAAUAAUACAGUGAAUUGCACGAAUCGGUUAACCGGCCCGGGACUCGGAGAAGAUGUGUUACAGUAUACACGAGUAGAGUAGUGAGAAACCAAACACAGCUUAAAUCAUUAUCCAAGACUCAACUAUAUAAGAGGACUAAGUUAUUGUCUAAGAAUUCGAGUAACAGUAUAGUCAUUCUAGCCGCCCUCUAAAUGCCAUUAGGGGCUACACUAAUUAUAUCUCGAGGUUCCUAGAUAUAUACCAAAGUAAGACUAUUCACUUAAGAGUUCCAGAGAAACAGUUUGACUAUUAUAGGAAUUCAAUAUUUAGAAGUAAUUAAGAGAUGUUUCAGAAUGGAGUUGCCUCGGAGUUCAGAUCAGAUUCAACUUACAACUAAAUCAAGGACAUGCCCAAAAGAAGAAAGAGAACAAGCUCUAUAUGAUUUGUACUUUCCUUUAGGUGAUCUUCAUUAUACAUUUCGUACCCGGCCCUUCAUGGGGCUCGGUGAACCACUAUGGCAUCGUAAUCUCAUUUUCGUAUCAAAUACAUCUCAAUGGAAAUGAGAGAUAGCUUCCCACACAUUACAUUCUGACAUAUAGAAGCCCUACUAGGCAAUACUUAACCCUCACAGGAACUCUAAUACUGAACAGUGGAUAGGGGUUAUGAGGCAUACUCGGAAUUCUGGGAAUGGAAUUAUCCCCACACUUCAUAUACAAUCCACUUAAGGCUAAACAUUGCCAAAAGGAAAGAAAGAUAGCUAUACGAACUUAUACCAAAACAUGCCAAGAGAAAGCUCUACAUACCUUGUCUGAAUUAUUCCUUAUCCUGCUUGCCUCACCGUCCUUUGAACCUAUUCAACAUGAAAGUAGUAUGAAUAUCAACGCCUUUUACUUUCCAGCACCCCAGGUUACAUCUUAGUAUUAAUGGAAUCUAUUUCCUUAGUCGUUUCCCCGACAAGUUCUGUUAUUCGCUAAGGCGUCGACGAAAAUUAGGCAGCACCUCCCCUAUAAUGUGCCCUAUCCAAAUUUACAAUUAGGUCCCUAAGACCUACAUCCAACCAACAACAACAACCUGCAUCAAUUCAGACCAACAAUAUACAACAUAAACUCCAAACGACUUAUUCAAAAAUACGGUAGCACAAUAGGGCGUCUAGCCUUUAUUUUGUAACGCCUUUCAUUAUACGCAACGAGGGGUCGUGUGGAUUCAACUAGAAGCACCCUAACCCACAUUAGAACAUAUUUAGUCCCUGCAACAACACAUCAAACCUCUGCAGCAGCACCUCACACGAACAACACUAUCCUUCGACGACAAUUUAACUAUAGCGAUUCCAAUUUAGUUUAUUUCGAACGUCGAGCAUUUCUACGACGUUCUUAAUCUUCCAGAAGCAUGCAAGGGGUGUAAUACACCAUAUAACAAUACCAUAAACUCCAAUUUAAAAAUUAAAGGUCUUACCUUACGUUAAACUUGUCAAACUCGCCAAAACUAUCCAAAAUGUGAAAUCUGGACAGCCCACUGUCUUAUUUGUCGCUUAGUUUCGGAGGGGUAAUUGAGGGAAACAGGAUUUGUGUCCUCAAUGAAAGUUAUAGACAUGUGUAUCAAGGUCACAAAUAAUUUUUAAUUACCUCUACAACAAUUUUGUAUGAAAAUAUAUGACCAAAACACCAACAGCAGUCCGUGUAAGAUUUCCAAAACCAAAAUCUGGGCAGUACCUCCUCUACACUUCAUCACCCUUUUUCGAGCUGAUACAAGUAAAACUGGAUUUUGGAGUCUAAAUGAAAGUUAUAGAACCAUGAAAUACCUUUCCAAAACAUACUGAAUCACCCGACACGAAGCUAUACACAAGAAGUUAUACCAAUAUUACUAACAACAGUCCCUUCCAAAAACGGGUUGGUUAAUUAGUUGUUAACAUUUUAUCCUUCAACUUUCUCUUAUUUCUUUCCAAGUGUAAACUGAAACCAUGGUUCCGUAGGCAUCCUAAGACACAUGUAUACACCCCCACAUGGUUGAAAAACAUUGUAGAUAAUUAAUUCACGGAGGAAAAUUGAAGAACUCACCUCAAAGUCUUCAAACCAUGGCUGCCUCUUCCUCUCACGUUUUCUCUCUAUUUUGGUUGCUGGAGUUUCAGCUUCAAAUGGAAUAAGAAUGACUUAAUAGUCAUCCAAAUCCACAUAUAUACCCCUCUUUAGAAGGUGCCACGUGGCAGCCCCCUAGGACGCCACCUAGGCUCAUGCGGCCUAUCACACGCCACCACGUGGCAGCGGGGUCCACCCCCCCAAGUAGGUAGGUGAGUCACCUGCUUGCUUGAGGUGCUUGCUUGUCACCUCCUUGCUUGACUUUCGUAAGUUCGGAAACUAGUUUUUUCUCCCUCUCGUAGGUUCGUAAUCUUGUCUUAUUUUAAGAGCCUAUGUAACCCAUGCUACACAAGCUUGGUAUGUACUCCAAUAGCUUAAGUAUGUAAGACUUCUAACUUAUUAGUUUACGUAGAUAAGUCGAGUUCUACGACUCGUUACUUGGCCUCCAACUCCUUCCGACUUCUCUUGACCCUAUUUCCAAUCUUCCCUACCACGGGGUGUCCCAUUCUCCCUUCUUAGAGUUGUUCAAUAGGGUCGUAACUUAAGUAGCUCACAUACUAGCUUCUAAGUAACUUAAGGAACAUUCCGAGUUCAAAGAUGUGGGGUGUAACAUUAGAGAUGAGAUUGGUUAAUUUAUUCUGUAUAUAUACUCUGUUAUGUUGAGUUUUCAUUUCUAUGAUUUGCUUACUGGCUAACCGUGUAAUUCUAUCAGUACACCAUUAUUUUUGUGUAUGGAUACUACUCUUUCUCUCACUUUUGUUGAGUACAGGGCAUAUUCAGCCGACUAUGGAGAGACCUCACCUAGAGGAAUAGAAAUCUUGUUCAAAUCCAAGGGGACCGGUGUUCCUCUUUGAUCUCCUUCACGUGGAUAGCUUGGAUUAGUUUAAAGAUUUCUUAUGGCCAUGUUGUUUCAAAAGAAGGAGUAGUGGUAGAUCCGCAAAGAUUAAAGCAGUUCACAACUUGGCUAGGCCUUGUUCCGUGACCGAAGUUAGAAGUUUUAUGGGACUGGACAGUUAUUAUCGUCACUUCAUGAAAAACUUUGCUUCUAUUGCUACUCACUUGACCAGGAUGACUAAAAAGGAGGUGCCAUUCGAGUGGGCUAACAAGUGUGAAAAGAGCUUCGAAAAUCUCAAGACUCUUCUAAUCACAACACUAAUUUUGACCCUGCCGGUCGAAGGGCAUAUUCAGCCGGUUGCGAAGAGACCUCACAUAGAAAACCGCUAGGUGACCAGAGUUCAAGGGUGAACCAAUUCUUUCAGGCUACUAUGGGCUCUUCUAUAUCUUAGUCCUUCACUCAAAGCUUGACUCUCAAAACACUUGUUUAUUUUAUGACAUUGGGGACGCAUCCCUUUUCCUUUAGACUGAUUUUUUCAUUAGAGCUUGGGUACAUCAAUUUUCACAUUCUAGGGAUAUAUUUCUUCAUGUUUAGUUAAGCUGACUGAGUUUAUGGGGAAUCAACACCCUUCUUCUUAUA